GUAGGUAUAGUUUAGUUAAAAACAUUAGAUUGUGAUUCUAAAGAUAGGGGUUAAACCCCCCUUGCCCACC
rnacentral:tRNA from 2 species